UGAUAAUUAGUUUAAACUAAAACAAAUGAUUUCGACUCAUUAAAUUAUGCGCAGCAUAAUUAUCAA
rnacentral:tRNA from 1 species